CGAUGAGGGGGAGUAACUACUGGAAACGGUAGCUAAUACCGCAUAACGUCGCAAGACCAAAGAGGGGGACCUUCGGGCCUCUUGCCAUCGGAUGUGCCCAGAUGGGAUUAGCUAGUAGGUGGGGUAACGGCUCACCUAGGCGACGAUCCCUAGCUGGUCUGAGAGGAUGACCAGCCACACUGGAACUGAGACACGGUCCAG
rnacentral:rRNA from 1 species